AUUGAACGCUGGCGGCAGGCCUAACCCAUGCAAGUCGAACGAGUGGCGGACGGGUGAGUAAUGUCUGGGAAACUGCCCGAUGGAGGGUGAUAACUACUGGAAACGGUAGCUAAUACCGCAUACCAUCGGAUGUGCCCCGAUGGGAUUAGCUAGUAGGUGGGGUAACGGCUCACCUAGGCGACGAUCCCUAGCUGGUCUGAGAGGAUGACCAGCCACACUGGAACUGAGACACGGUCCAGACUCCUACGGUAGGCAGCAGUGGGGAAUAUUGCACAAUGGGCGCAAGCCUGAGGCAGCCAUGCCGCGUGUAUGAAGAAGGCCUUCGGGUUGUAAAGUACUUUCAGCGAGGAGGCGGUACUCGCAGAAGAAGCACCGGCUAACUCCGUGCCAGCAGCCGCGGUAAUUC
rnacentral:rRNA from 1 species